rnacentral:rRNA from 1 species
GAUGAACGCUGGCGGCGUGCCUAAUACAUGCAAGUCGAGCGAACGGACGAGAAGCUUGCUUCUCUGCUGUUAGCGGCGGACGGGUGAGUAACACGUGCAUAACCUACCUAUAAGACUGGGAUAACUUCGGGAAACCGUAGCUAAUACCGGAUAAUAUUUUGAACCGCAUGGUUCAAAAGUGAAAGACGGUCUUGCUGUCACUUAUAGAUGGAUCCGCGCUGCAUUAGCUAGUUGGUAAGGUAACGGCUUACCAAGGCAACGAUGCAUAGCCGACCUGAGAGGGUGAUCGGCCACACUGGAACUGAGACACGGUCCAGACUCCUACGGGAGGCAGCAGUAGGGAAUCUUCCGCAAUGGGCGAAAGCCUGACGGAGCAACGCCGCGUGAGUGAUGAAGGUCUUCGGAUCGUAAAACUCUGUUAUUAGGGAAGAACAGAUGUGUAAGUAACUGUGCACAUCUUGACGGUACCUAAUCAGAAAGCCACGGCUAACUACGUG